AUACAAAGUAGACAGCAGCAUUCUCAGAAGCUGCUUUGUGAUGUUUGCUUUUAAGUCACAGAGUUGAACAUUCCCUUUCAUAGAGCAGGAUUCAAACACUCUUUCUGUAGUAUCUGGAAGUGGACAUUUCGAGGGCUUUCAGGCCUAUGGUGAAAAAGGAAAUAUCUUCCCAUAAAAAAUAGACAGAAGCAUUCUCAGAAACUUAUUUGUGAUGUAUGUCCUCAACUAACAGAGUUGAACCUUUCUUUUGAUACAGCAGUUUGGAAACACCUUUUAUGUAGAAUCUGCAAGUGGAUAUUUGGAUAACUUUGGAGAUUUCAUUGGAAACGGGAAUAUCUUCAUGUAAUAUCGAGACAGAAGCAUUCUCAGAAACUGCUUUGUGAUGUCUGCAUUCACGUCACAGAGUUGAACAUUCGCUUUCAUAGAGCAGGUUUGAAACACUCUAUUUUUAGUAUAUGGUAGUGGACAUUUGGAGCGUUUUCAGGCCUGCGUUGGAAAAGGAAAUAUCUUCCCAUAACAACUAGACAGAAGCCUUCUCAGAAACUAGUUUCUGAUGUGUGUCCUCAACUAACACAGUUGAACAUUUCUUUUGACAGAACAGUUUUGAAACACUCUUUUUGUGGAAUCUGCAAGUGGAUAUUUGGCUACAUUUGAGGAUUUCGUUGGAAACGGGAUUACAUAUAAAAAGCAGACAGCACCAUUCUCAGAAACUUCUUUGUGAUGAUUGCAUUCAAGUCACAGAAUUGAACAUUCCCUUUCACAGACCAGGUUUGAAACACUCUUUUGCAGUGUCUGUAAGUGGACAUUUGGAGCGCUUUCUGGCCUAAGGUGAAAAAGGAAAUAUCUUCCCAUAAAAACUAGACAGAAGCAUUCUCAGAAACUUACUCGUGAUGUGUGUCCUCAACCAAAGGAGUAGAACCUUUCUUUUCAUAGAGAAGUUUUGAAACGCUCUUUUUGUGGAAUCUGCAAGUGGAUAUUUGGCUAGUUUUGAGGAUUUCGUUGGAAGCGGGAUUUCAUAGAAAUUGAAGACUGCAGCGUUCUGAGAAAUAUCUUUGUGAUGUUUGUAUUCAGGACACAGAGUUGAACAUUCCCUAUCAUAAAGCAGGUUUG
rnacentral:lncRNA from 1 species